GACGAACGCUGGCGGCGUGCUUAACACAUGCAAGUCGAACGGAAAGGCCCAGCUUGCUGGGUACUCGAGUGGCGAACGGGUGAGUAACACGUGGGUGAUCUGCCCUGGACUCUGGGAUAAGCCUGGGAAACUGGGUCUAAUACCGGAUAUGACCUUACAUCGCAUGGUGUUUGGUGGAAAGCUUUUGCGGUUCAGGAUGGGCCCGCGGCCUAUCAGCUUGUUGGUGGGGUAAUGGCCUACCAAGGCGACGACGGGUAGCCGACCUGAGAGGGUGAUCGGCCACACUGGGACUGAGACACGGCCCAGACUCCUACGGGAGGCAGCAGUGGGGAAUAUUGCACAAUGGGCGCAAGCCUGAUGCAGCAACGCCGCGUGAGGGAUGACGGCCUUCGGGUUGUAAACCUCUUUCACCAGGGACGAAGCGUGAGUGACGGUACCUGGAGAAGAAGCACCGGCCAACUACGUG
rnacentral:rRNA from 1 species